rnacentral:rRNA from 1 species
GACAGAGGAUGCAAGCGUUAUCCGGAAUGAUUGGGCGUAAAGCGUCUGUAGGUGGCUUUUCAAGUCCGCCGUCAAAUCCCAGGGCUCAACCCUGGACAGGCGGUGGAAACUACCAAGCUGGAGUACGGUAGGGGCAGAGGGAAUUUCCGGUGGAGCGGUGAAAUGCAUUGAGAUGUGGAGGAACACCGAUGGCGAAGGCAGCCUCCUGGGCCAGCACUGACGCUCAUGCACGAAAGCGUGGGGAGCAAACAGG